ensembl:lncRNA
GGGGCUUUUAGCCCUUUCCUGUAACAGAGAGGAGGGAAGAGUUCUGCUACUCUAGGAAGCUACAAGAUUAUGGAUAAAUGUGUAUUUAAUUUCUGAAGGCAAGAGGAUGUCAUUUCUAAAACUGUUUGCUUGUGUGGCAGGACUUAUUUGUGCUGUUAUGGCCUACAUACAACACUGCCAAAACUGAAGAAAUGUUUUCAAAUAGACUCAGUUUGCAACAUAGCUGAUUGUCUGGCUGUGCUGUGGCCAACCGGAAGUGUUCUGAUUAACACCAGCAUGCCUUGGACAGGAAGGGGAGAAUAGGGCUGCUGUGUAGUGUUCCAUCCUGGAAAUACAAGCUGAUAUUUGUGAGUUACUGACUGAAAAGCUUGCAGGGUUGUAUGGAAACUGAGUCAUGGCCUGAACCACUGAUUGAGCACCUGGGGAAAAGACCUGGGCAGUCCUGGGAGCACAGGUGAAGGCAGUUCAUUUGUGUGACUGGAAGGGCUGGAGCCUGGCUGCGCCUCUCUUAGACCUCAUUUAAGGGCUGACUGCCACUGGAAAGGGAUCUCUUUCUGGAGAUCCCUCCUUGGUGAGGCUUUCCUCUGUGAACCUGGAAUCUUCUGAUAUGGGUGAGCAAUCUUCUUCCCUUCCUUUAUGGCACCUUCCUACUGUGCCAGUCCUUCUGUCAUCACAUCUCUGUGAUAAUGCCUUUCCCAUUGUAUUGAUCUGUCCAAUUGCUACAUGGGUAGUCCAGGGGAGCUGUAGACUUGCUGGUUCAGCACAGAGACCUCUUGCAGUCUGUUUCCAAAUGUGUGGAUGGCAGGAAAGUAACUGGGGGCUGUCAACAGUUUUCAAUUUACUAUGGUCAAAUCAUGUUUGACAAACAUGAUCACCUUGUAUGGUGAAAUAACUGGCUGUGUGGAUGCGAGGAAAGUAGAUAGUUUUUCUUAUGCCAGUUCCCACAGCCUUCUUAGAGUAUCAGAUAUGCUGAAUACUCUUUAGGCUGCAAGAUUCAGAGACUUAGUCUCUGAUGGCUUGAAAUAAGUGAAGUACCUCAUGAAUUAUUACUGGACCUGAUAUGGAA